rnacentral:rRNA from 1 species
GGGGAAUAUUGGACAAUGGGGGAAACCCUGAUCCAGCAAUGCCGCGUGAGUGAUGAAGGCCCUAGGGUUGUAAAACUCUUUCAGAAGUGAAGAUGAUGACGGUAACUUCAGAAGAAGCUCCGGCUAACUCCGUGCCAGCAGCCGCGGUAAUACGGAGGGAGCUAGCGUUGUUCGGAAUUACUGGGCGUAAAGAGCGUGUAGGCUGUUAGGUAAGUCAGAGGUGAAAUCCCUAAGCUCAACUUAGGAACUGCCUUUGAUACUAUCUUACUAGAGAUCGAGAGAAGUUGGCGGAAUUCCAAGUGUAGAGGUGAAAUUCGUAGAUAUUUGGAAGAACACCAGUGGCGAAAGCGGCCAACUGGCUCGUAUCUGACGCUGAGACGCGAAAGCGUGGGUAGCAAACAGG